GUGGGGAAUUUUGGACAAUGGGGGCAACCCUGAUCCAGCCAUGCCGCGUGAGUGAAGAAGGCCUUCGGGUUGUAAAGCUCUUUCGGCCGGGAAGAAAUCGUCUGGGUGAAUAAUCCGGAUGGAUGACGGUACCGGAAGAAGAAGCACCGGCUAACUACGUGCCAGCAGCCGCGGUAAUACGUAGGGUGCGAGCGUUAAUCGGAAUUACUGGGCGUAAAGCGUGCGCAGGCGGCUUUGUAAGACAGCUGUGAAAGCCCCGGGCUUAACCUGGGAACGGCGGUUGUGACUGCAAGGCUAGAGUUCGGCAGAGGGGGGUGGAAUUCCUGGUGUAGCAGUGAAAUGCGUAGAGAUCAGGAGGAACACCGAUGGCGAAGGCAGCCCCCUGGGCCGCGACUGACGCUCAGGCACGAAAGCGUGGGGAGCAAACAGGAUUAGAUACCCGGGUAGUCC
rnacentral:rRNA from 1 species